GUUGAUCCUGGCUCAGAACGAACGCUGGUGGCGUGUCUUAUACAUGCAAGUCGAGCGAGGCAGCAAUGCCGAGCGGCGAACGGGUGAGUAACGCGUAAGCAAUCUGCCCCAUAUCAGGAAAUACCCGUGCCAACGCGCGGUUAAUGUCCAGGAGAGUGGCUCCUUGCAUGAGGAGUUGACUAGAGAUUUAUCGGUAUGGGAUGAGCUUGCGUCCGAUUAGCUAGUUGGCGGGGCAACGGCCCACCAAGGCGACGAUCGGUAGCCGGCCUGAGAGGGUGAUCGGCCACAUUGGGACUGAGAUACGGCCCAGACUCCUACGGGAGGCAGCAGUAGGGAAUAUUGCACAAUGGGGGAAACCCUGAUGCAGCAACGCCACGUGUGGGAAGAAAGCAUUUCGGUGUGUAAACCACUGUCAUGAGGGAAUAAGGCCUGUCUUCGGGCAGGAUUGAAUGUACCUUGAGAGGAAGCACCGGCAAACUUCGUGCCAGCCGCUGC
rnacentral:rRNA from 1 species